AUGCGGAGACCACGCCCCCGGGCGGGUGCGGCCUUAUUUGACCUUCUUCUUGGGGCGCAGGUUGUUGGUGUGCUGGCACUUCUUCUUGCGGCAGAUCAUCUUGUCGCAGUUGUACUUCUGCGCCAGCUGGCGCAGCACCAGGUGCAGGGUGGACUCUUUCUGGAUGUUGUAGUCCGACAGGGUGCUGCUGUCCUCCAGCUGUUUGCCCACGAAAAUCAGACACUGCUGGUCAGGCGGGAUGCCCUCCUUGUCUUGGAUCUUGGCUUUGACAUUCUCGAUGAUGUCCUGGGCUCGACCUCGAGGGCGAUGGUCUUGCCCGUCAGGGUCUUCACAAAGAUCUGCACCUCGGCGCCCACGGAGCCGCUCGAUAACUACUUUAUUCUAAAAAUUAAACCAGUUAGGAUAGAUCAACAUAUCUGA
rnacentral:lncRNA from 1 species